UACGAAGGGUGCAAACGUUGCUCGGAAUUACUGGGCGUAAAGGGCUCGUAGGCGGCCAACUAAGUCAGACGUGAAAUCCCUCAGCUUAACUGGGGAACUGCGUCUGAUACUGGAUGGCUUGGAUCCGGGAGAGGGAUGCGGAAUUCCAGGUGUAGCGGUGAAAUGCGUAGAUAUCUGGAGGAACACCGGUGGCGAAGGCGGCAUCCUGGACCGGUAUUGACGCUGAUGCGCGAAAGCCAGGGGAGCAAACGGG
rnacentral:rRNA from 1 species